UUCUCAGUCAGAGUCAAAGCUCGCUGAGAACUUGGAUUUGACUAUGGUGAAAAGUUCUGGAUUAUCAAAUGGAAACAGUUCACAUGCGCCUGUCAGUCGCCAAAAUGCAAAUACUCCUCCGAGACCAUCCACAAAACUCUACAGGAAUAUCGGCUCCGACACGAUGAGGAAGAUCCAAACAACCCUGACAACUAAGGUCAAGGUCAACAUUAGUAAUUGUCACCUUCAACGUGUAGUUCCGAUAAUGGCGAAUGUCAAGACUCUGGUGUUUAUACUCCUUUGCAUUUAUUCGUCAGAUAAUAUUCUUCGUGUUGUACUAAAUCUUUAGUAUGAUGGAACUGAGUGCAUGAUGUGCAUGGAUAAAAACUGAUGUUAUGGUGACUUACGUCAAUUGUAACUACUAUUUCAUUGAGAGGAGACAAAUGUUGUACAUUUCAUUGUUAUGAUAUAUUACAUUGUAACAGUGUGCCUGUCAAUCAUAAUGUCAUGUUGAAUGUUGAUGGUCCAUUAAAGUCUAAGUGUUGUAGGAAUGGAGCAUGUCAUUGUAGAAUAUCAUCCUGACCUUCAAAUUGUAUAGGCUGAUUGACUCUGGCUUCAUCACCUGCUUUCAGAUGACAGUGUUGUUAAUUACAUACUUACUGAAAUGGUUAUGUACAUGUCGUGGUUGUGGGACGCCAGUGUAAUUUAUUUCAAAUAUGUGCCAUUUCGCUUCUGUGUGACUAAGAGGUCCUGGCUGUUUCAAAGUGUAGGUUGUCAGUUUCACAGAUAUGGUGUCUGCUCCCAAAUGGCUGUGUCACAUUCCAUCUGUCACUGACCAGGCCACUUUGCCUCAACAUCCAUCAGCCAGACUUGGCCGUCUAUUUCAUGUCUGCGGUCAUAUCACCUUUCAUCCUAACACUGUCAUUUAUUGAAACAAUCGGAUAUGUAAAUUAGAGAAAUUACGAUGUUACAACCUUGUUUUGGGCAGGGCUAUCAAUAAGCACACAUCCUACACAUGGGAAGCUGUCGCAUUUGUAGUGUGUAGAUUGACCCAGCUGACUGACCCAGUCACCUUCAGCUGGUACCCAACACAAGCCCACAUCUACUCCAACUACGUCACAGACUCUCCACCUUCGGGAACAAGAAGGGUCAGCUCAUGCAGAUAUCUUGUUGUUUAAACAAGGCUAUGUUAUGUGACCAAGUUCUUGAAAAUAAUUUUGUUCAGUUGGAUUUUAAUUGUGAAAAUUCUCUGAACAUAUUUUGGUGUACAGUCAUCUUUUCAGUUGACACAUGACUAUUAUAUUUCUAUAUAGUAUAUAUACUCCCAAAAAUAUUUGAUAUUUGAUGUGAACCUUUCCCCAGAGUGUCUGUUUUUCCACUGUCCCAACUGGUGUGUUUUUUUGUGUUGAGAGAAGAUGAGGUAUAACUUGCUUCAAGAUGUCAUAGUAGCAUCAAGUUAUUACAGUUGUUGCAGUAUAGAAAGAGCGACUUCUGAACAUUUCUACUAUUAUAUUUAUCAUGUCAUAUACAUUGCAUCUGUUGAUGUUAAGUACAUCAAAGUUGGUUUACAAAUGUCUCAAAAUGAUUUCAGACUUAAACCAGUAUCUGUGUAUUGCAACCAAAUUCUAUUCCGCAAUAUAUAUUUUAAUUCAAAUAAAAGGGUCAUUCAUAGAUUUGAUGAGAGAAAACUGACAAUAGACUUUCAAGAAUUAACUGAUGAUGGCUUUCAAGAAUUAACUGGUUUUUUUUCUGCCAUUCCAAAUUGGAAAGGUUUUUUAAAUUUUUGUUUUCCUUUAAAUGAUUUCUUCACAUGUGUUGUUAGAAAUCUGCUAGAAACAGACUGUAAAUCUGAGUUUCAUUGUCAGUAAUAAAAAUAGUUGGGCACAAUAUCACAGCUUAUAUUGUAACACUAUCACUACUGAGGUGUUCUGUACAAGGGUAUGUAACUAGGAGGAUAAUGGGAUAGGAAUGAACAGCCCUGUCCAUGCUGUCCGUGUUUACCUCAGUCGAGUUGUAAACACAAAUGUUGUGUCUGUGUAGCAUGAUGCCGAUGUACAUAGCCCUAUAUAUCCUGUGUGUACAUGGUACUGUGUAACGUCACUGGUGUUUAUCAUUGGUUUGGGAAGAAUGCCUGGGUGCCGUUGUACAAAACAACCUUAGCGCUAAGGCUACCUUAAGUCUAUGUUAAAGUAUGGGAGUUGAGGUCACCUUAGAGCUAAGAUCGCUUUGUACAACGGCACCCUGGUCUACUUUGCUUUUAGAAAUAGAUUUUAUUCACUUCUUCUUUGCAAUUGAUUCAUCUAUGUCCCACACUGGUUCCUUUAAUGAAGUGUUCUUUGACAAAUUGCGAAUAAACACUUCUUGAUGUAAGAAUUUAACAGUCAAUGCCAGGCCUUUUCUCAUGUCAUUCUUCUCAUACAAAUUGGCAGUAGCGCUAUGAAAUACUUACACUGUAGUUGAAUUAUGGUAUAUUUGAAAUAGACAUUGUAAAUUCAUUAACAUUAAUUUGAAGCAGUCCUGAUGGUGUAAUACUGUCUUGUGUAGCCUCAUCCUCUCUUAGGAGGCUUUGUUAUAAUGUGAAGGGCUGGAUUACAUGGUUAACAGCAUGGCAAGGUUAGUAUGAGGGGUUCUUGCCACAGACCUAAGGUGCAGGGACAAUGAUGUAUUGUUUUGAAUCAUAUUUUACAUAGUUAACAUCCUGCUGGAAACAGGGGCAUAAGUAAAAGUGUUCAACAGAACCAAUUUUGGCUUUUUUAGAGAGAGAGAAGAUUUCCUUCAGUAGAUGUGUACCGCUGCUGUUCUUCAGUAUAUACUCUGACACUUUGAAGAUGCAGUUUUCAUGGUUUUUUAAAUAUCUAAGAAGUGUUUUUUGAUAUAGUGUCUGUUAUAAGAGAGAGAGAAAGCUUGAAACUGCGUACACGUUUACAUACAUGUUUAAUAACUUAUACCGGCAGUUGUUUAUGAAUUCAAAGUGAAACAAAAUUGCUAGUUAUUUGUUUUACAUCAUGGCAUUCAUUUAAAAAUACUGCACAAUUUGUAUGAAAUUUAUUACAUCUAAAUGCAAUCUUGUCAUAGAAAAUGAUACAAUAAAAUUAUUUCUUUAAAAUGUCUUUAAUCAGAAUAGCGUUUUCAUAGUGUUUCUAUAUAUGGAUAUGCGUACAGGUCACUUGUUACUGACUGUGUUACUAGCUAUCCAUAGUCACAAUUUUUAAGUGACAUGAACUCAGAAUUGGUAAAUGUCUGUAUUGUCAAGAGGAUCCAAUAUCAUGUUUUGAGAAAUAUUUUAGGAACAUUUUAUUUUUUAUUAACUUCAAGAACCACUAUCUUUUGAUACUAAUUUGCUAUACUUGCUGUUGAAGAUUAUGUUUUUUCUUCUGUUGUUGUCUGUGGUUUUCCUGGCUACACGUUGCUGGAACCUCCUUCUUUUCUGUGUAGCUGGUUCUCUGCAAAUCAACUGAUUGUGGAGGAAAAUAGCAUGAUGAAAUAUUUUAAGAAGGAUGAAAUUAUAUUAUUCAAGAUAAUGUUCCUUGACUGAAAUCAUUGUUUGUCAUUUCUCAUCUUACUGCUUUUCUGUAGUGGCCUCCAGCUCAUCAAGUGAAUAAACAUCAUGAUUCCAUGUA